GCCCAAUGUGUUAAACAAUUCCCAAAAAUACCUCAUGCAGAUCGGGUAGUAGCAGAUUAUGCUUUGGCUGAAAUGGGUGAUCCUAGUGAGAUUUUGUGCGACAUGUAUGGGAUGUACAUUAGACGGGAGGAACUUUCUUGUCUAAAUGCAGGGCGGUGGGUUAAUUCAAUGGUAGGUUACUUAUCCUUAUGCCUUACUAAAUUCACAAUUAAUAAGUCAUAUGAAUCGAUAAAGUGUUGAUGGAGGUUGUAAAAUAUGUUAUUUUACACAACUUUGGCAGAUUGUUGCGAUUGUCUCUCGCAUAAUGAAUGGACAGCAAGCACCACCACCUCGCGCACACUUUUUUGAGCCUUCAUUCUCGGUUGUUCUGAGCAACCUCAAAUCUAAUGCAACCACGCAAGUCAUCUUGGAAAGAUGCGCUAUGUAUCUGGAUCCUGACACAUUGGGCCAUGAUCUUCUUAGUUCA